GACGAACGCUGGCGGCGUGCUUAACACAUGCAAGUCGAGCGGGGAUCCGGGACUUCGGUUCUGGAUUCUAGCGGCGGACGGGUGAGUAACGCGUGAACAAUCUGUCCCAGACAGGGGGAUAACAGAUGGAAACAUCUGCUAAUACCGCAUAAGACCACGACACCACAUGGUGAUGGGGUAAAAGAUUUAUCGGUCUGGGGUGAGUUCGCGUCCGAUUAGCUAGUUGGUGAGGUAACGGCCCACCAAGGCGACGAUCGGUAGCCGACCUGAGAGGGUGAUCGGCCACAUUGGAACUGAGACACGGUCCAAACUCCUACGGGAGGCAGCAGUGGGGAAUAUUGGGCAAUGGGGGAAACCUGACCCAGCAACGCCGCGUGAGGGAAGAAGGUCUUCGGAUUGUAAACCUCUGUCCUUGGGGACGAAGAAAGUGACGGUACCCAAGGAGGAAGCUCCGGCUAACU
rnacentral:rRNA from 1 species